UACAGAGGGUGCAAGCGUUGUUCGGAAUUACUGGGCGUAAAGGGCGCGUAGGCGGCCUUCUAAGUCGAACGUGAAAUCCCCGGGCUCAACCCGGGAACUGCGUCCGAGACUGAAAGGCUUGAAUCCGGGAGAGGGAUGCGGAAUUCCAGGUGUAGCGGUGAAAUGCGUAGAUAUCAGGAGGAACACCGGUGGCGAAGGCGGUUCUCUGGGCAUUACCUGACGCUGAGGAGCGAAAGCAUGGGGAGCGAACAGG
rnacentral:rRNA from 1 species